rnacentral:pre_miRNA from 2 species
UUGUGGUGUCAUGGUCAUUGUUGACCGUUCAUAUAACCCCUGCAAUUGCUUUGCAUCUUAUGCGGGUGUUAUAUAACGGUCAACAAAAACAUUUAACAUCGAAGA